CAGUUUAUGGGCCGCACCGGGACCAGCUGGGCUUUAUCCUCCUCUUCUACCUCGUUUUUUAUGGGUUCCUCACCGCCAUGUUCACCCUCACCAUGUGGGUGAUGCUGCAGACUGUCUCCGACCAUACCCCCAAGUACCAGGACCGACUGGCCACACCGGCUUGAUGAUUCGCCCCAAGACUGAGAACCUUGAUGUCAUUGUCAAUGUCAGUGACACUGAAAGCUGGGACCAGCAUGUUCAGAAGCUCAACAAGUUCUUGGAGCUUACAACGACUCUAUCCAAGC
rnacentral:lncRNA from 1 species